rnacentral:rRNA from 1 species
UACGUAGGGGGCAAGCGUUGUCCGGAUUUAUUGGGCGUAAAGAGCGUGUAGGCGGCUUGGUAGGUCUUGCGUCAAAACCUGAGGCUCAACCUCAGUUCGCGUGGGAAACCAUCUAGCUAGAGUCCGGAAGAGGAGAACGGAAUUCCCAGUGUAGCGGUGAAAUGCGCAGAUAUUGGGAAGAACCCCAGUGGCGAAGGCGGUUCUCUGGGACGGUACUGACGCUGAGGUGCGAAAGCGUGGGGAGCGAACAGG